ACGGGGGUGGCAAGCGUUGUCCGGAAUUACUAGGCGUAAAGGGCAGGUAGGCGGAUCAGUAAGUCGGACGUUUAAUCCUCGGUCUUAAGCUGAGACAUGCGUUUGAUACUGUUGAUCUAGAAUGCGGCGGGGGAAGACGGAAUUCCGGGUGAAUCCGUGGAAUGCUCAGAUAUCCGGAGGAACACCGAAGGCGAAGGCAGUCUUCCAUACCGUAAUUGACGCUGAACUGAGAAGGUGUGGGUAUCAAUUAU
rnacentral:rRNA from 1 species